rnacentral:rRNA from 1 species
CCUACGGGAGGCAGCAGUGAGGAAUAUUGGUCAAUGGACGAGAGUCUGAACCAGCCAAGUAGCGUGAAGGAUGACUGCCCUAUGGGUUGUAAACUUCUUUUAUAUGGGAAUAAAACGUUCCACGUGUGGGAUUUUGUAUGUACCAUAUGAAUAAGGAUCGGCUAACUCCGUGCCAGCAGCCGCGGUAAUACGGAGGAUCUGAGCGUUAUCCGGAUUUAUUGGGGUUAAAGGGAGCGUAGGUGGAUUGUUAAGUCAGUUGUGAAAGUUUGCGGCUCAACCGUAAAAUUGCAGUUGAAACUGGCAGUCUUGAGUACAGUAGAGGUGAGCGGAAUUCGUGGUGUAGCGGUGAAAUGCUUAGAUAUCACGAAGAACUCCGAUUGCGAAGGCAGUUCACUGGACUGCAACUGACACUGAGGCUCGAAAGUGUGGGUAUCAAACAGGAUUAGAUACCCUAGUAGUC